CUCUUGCUAAGUGUCCCUGGAGGGAUGUGAAUGGGAGAGGCCAGGAUGUGCCUUUUGAGUCUUGCCAGGGCUCCUGGAGAAUCCUCCUAAUUGUCCCCUGACUGGUGUAGCCCCAUGUCCCAUAACUGACAGGUGAUCCCUCUUCUUGCAGGCUCUGCACAACCGCUAUUCGCGGAUCCUGGACACCAUCCUCAGGGGCCGGCUGACAGAGACCCCCACCAUGGAGAAGCUGCAGCACCUCCUGGAGCACGUCCAUCUCUCUCUCCAGUCAAAAAACACCCAGGAGAGAGCAAGGGCCGUACAGACCAGCACAGCCCUGCUCCUGUUUGCCACCUCCCUGCCUGGAUUUGAUACCUCCUCCGCCUUCUCCAAGGCAGGCGACUUUGUGCUGCAGCUGGGUCUUUAUGUAUCUCACCUGCCAACGACAUCAGCUGGCA